UCAUUGCGUAAAACGUGUCAUGCAGUGGUGUAGAACGGGACGUUUUGCAUCAUUAUCAAGAAGGUAGAAUAGCCGCAAGGCUUGAGAGGUGAGGGUGAGAAAAAAUCGUACAAAAGGAUAGAGAAUAGGCGAAAGCAAGCAGUCGAGUAAGCAUCUCCUACACGGCAACAACUGCAGUGCACUAGUCGUAUGUCGUCACCCAACUGCCUUCUUCAUCGUAUAACCAAUUCGUAAUUAUGGUCGCAUAAAAGAAGAGAAGAGGCGAUAGAAAUAGGUUGAGUGGUUAUCUCCCACGUGUCAACAGCAACUGCAGUGCACUAUUUGUCACCAACUGCAUUUUUCAUCGUACCACCAGUUUGCAAUCAUGGACUAUGGAGCUUGCUGCUUGCUGCUGUUGUUGGGUUUCGUAUCGUUGAUGGCUGGGUCGAUCACUGGUAUACCGAUGUCUCCUGGGUAUGGCGAAUACUAAAGCACAACGCCGCGGUCUUACUACACAACAACAACAUACGCAACGACCAGUUAUACACCGAUGCCCCCAAGUUCUACACCACCAAGGCUCCAGAUUAUUACUCCAAAUUUUGUGCUGUCCCGAACUACUACACCGUCUUCCCCGAGCUACAAUACUGAAGAGUUUGAAUACUACACCGUGGCUCCCAAGUACUACACCAUCAAGAAUCGGUAGUACUGCACAACUAAAUAUGCUGCGAAACUUUAUUACACCGAGGCUCCUGAGUACUACUCUGCUCCCAGCAAGCAUACCGAGGAUCCAGCUUAUACACCACAAAAACGGUCGAAUACUACACAGAAGCAAUCAUGAUCUUAUAGAAGGAGAGAAAAGGCGAUAGAAAUCAGUCGAAUGGUCAUCUCAGACACGGCAACAGCAACUGCAGUGCACUAUUUGUCACCAACUGCGUUCUUCGUCGCACCACCAGUUCUGCGAUCAUGGUUAGUUAAUUACUGCGUCUUGCUGCUUUGGGCGUUUUAUCGUUGAUGGCUGGGUCGACCACGUGUGUGCCAAUGUCUCCUAUGUAUGGCGGGCAGGAAGCUGUAACGCUGCCGUCUUACUAUCUCAAAUGUCCGACAAUCCAUCCACAUCCACCCUUGAUUCCUUUUCGUACAGUCAAACGUGGAGGAAUCUUGGCUCCGUCAGUAGGUGGCUAAAAUCAAGUUGUCCCCCAGCCGCCAGAUGACGUGAGUGUCUUUGAGAGGACGACAUUUUCGCCAUUUUGUUCCGAAACGCCAAGUGAAAAGGUAUUCCAAAUUCGUUACGGAAUUCCGGUGUCAAUCUACAUUUUCAGCAUUGAAAUUGAAUGGCAAUCUGGCAUAUAAUUUCCACUAGGCCAAAUAAUCGAUCACGUGGAAUGAAACUGCUUUCCAUUUUGCCGAAAUGUCGUCCGUUGUUAGCUGUACCUGUUCGGAUGUACGUCUCAUCUCACGUAGAAACACUACAGAGUUGGUGUUCAGGUUGGAGAUCCUGUUGCUUAAUAACUGUUGCAGAAUGUGAGAACUCAACAAAGUCUGAGCUCCAUGGCGCAUCAUUACAGUGGUUUUGUUGCAGCCGACUGGUGAAAGGUGUGAUCAAGUCAAGUUGAGCUGCAGCUGCUGCAUGCAGUUUAUCGAGCUGUUGUUACCCUGAAGUGUUAUUGCAGGAAGACUUUUUGAAAUGGACUUUGGUGAUACUUAAACUAUGCCUGUGCUGUUCAAUGUGCAGUGGUUUUGCAGCCUAUUUCCAGUUGAGAGAUGUGAUUAUGCAGCUGAUACACGAUUGAAGAAAAAGAACUGAAGUAGCUGUGCUGGUGUUCUCCUGAAAUUGCUGUGCCACAGGAGUUGCAAAUAGUGUUUGGUUCCUCAUAGAAGUUUAUUUAAAGAGUCUGGAGAUGAUCAGCCACUUCUGCCUUUAACUUAUGUAAAACUUCAAAGUUGUAAGAAAUAUACAAGUCAAGUUCUAAA
rnacentral:lncRNA from 1 species